CACGGCCUUGGCCUUCACAUUCGCCUCCUGAAUCCCAUCGAGACACGUCUCGUCAUCCGUGAGGGCGGCGCUCAGCCACGUCUGGGCAUUGCUCAUCUGGAAUCGAAACGUCUCCUUCCGGAGGUGGUGCAGCUCGGCGAGCGUCUCGCUCAGCUCGUCCACCGACGUCGACAUCAGGUCCACGCAGUCGCCGAUCGCCGAGAGCUGCAGCUUCGUCCCCUUGAAGGAGGCGGAGAGCUGGGCGAGGAAGCCGGAGACGCGGAGUGAGCGGGCGAGGCUAACGUUCACAGCGGCCUGGGCGAGGUCGCGGGGGGUCUUGGCGGGGCCGGCGUAGUUGGAUAGAGUGCGGAGGCAGAUUUUGGGGUAAGUGGCGUGGCGACAUGAUGAACGGACGAUAUUUGAUGCUGGGUGGUGUUUCCCUGCGGCGGAGGCGGAGUACAGCGAGCAGAAGAGGAGGACGAGGAGAGGGAGAAGAGAGAGUAGGAAACGCAUCGAGGAGGUGAGUAGAGUGAAGAUUGAAGAGUGUGGAAUUAAUCUGUGGCAGUGUUAGUCUGGUCGCUGGGGGGUGAGAGGUUGGGUAUAUAUAGGGGGCGUCUGUAGUGAACCAGUGACAGUGGGAAAGUAAACGGGCAAAUCUCCGUUUUAGACUAGGAAUGUUUAACAUUAGGUUAGCCUUGCCUUCCAAUAUCUUUCUAUUCGUUUAGAUAUACUUUUAAAAUAAUUGAAAACGUUUUUAGUGAAAAUAUUUUUAGAUUCCAAAAGCAUUUUAAGUGAUUUCUGCAAUAAACACUAAUUAUGUGCUUCUUUCAAGAAACACUUUAAGUAAUUUUUCAGGAUUCACUUGUAUUUUUACUAAGGAUUGAUUCAAAAAAUAUUAUCACCAAAAAUACUUUCAGUUAUUUUAAAAGCACAUCCAAACUAGCCUUUAAUAGUUUAAUACAAAACAUAGAUCACGUUAAUGUUUUUAAACUAAACUGCUUUAACAGAAGAAAAUAUAAAAAGAAAACAAAGAAUAUUGACAUUCAUAUUUUGCUGUCCGAUCAAGGAAUGAUUAAAAUAACUUUUUAUAUAUAGCGUCAUUCAAUAAUUCACUCAGGACAUUCGAAGAUAUAUUUUUAUCGGUUCACAAUUUCCUUACUUUUGUAAUCUUCUUUCCAAUAUGAGGUUUGGUUUUUCUCGUUUUUCUUUGUAUUGAUUCCAUCUAGGUAUUAUUCUUCUCGAUCACAUCUUAUUGGUCACUUCAUUUGAUUUUGAAUCAUUAAAACCUGUAUUGCUAUUUCUUAUUUACAGAGGAUAAACAACCCAAAAUCCUAGCCAUGCUCUUCUUUUUUUUCAACGUACAUUCAUUAAUAAGAACAUCAUUCAUCAUGAAUACAAUUCAGUGAUUACAAAUGCAACAAAAAGACAAUACAAAUUUUACCCCAUAUAACCGUAAAUCUAACCAAACGGAAGGAUAACACUCAUAAAGACAAAAUCUUGCUUCACUUUCUUAAUAACUUGCAAAAGACGACGCUCAUUCGACAAAUAAGUCAUGCUACGAGACAUCACGGAGAUGUCUUCAUAGUCCUUUGCCAAAAAAAACAACAAACAACGAAACCACAACCAAAACAAAAUAAACUCUUCAAAGGUACGAUUCCUCAAUCAUGGGAUACCCGCACCUAACUAACAAGAAAGAUAAGCUCGCAAUGCCUAAACCCAAUGAGCCGGCUGGACCUAACACCAUCAAGACUCGCAAGGUAAACAUCCUACCAUCACCUGAAGAAUUUGCAACGACAAUAAAACAUGAUUGUGAAUCCCUCAAACCACUGCAACAACCCCUCAAACGAAAGACCACACCACCCUUUGAUGACAAGACUCGCAGGGUAAACAUCCAACCAUCACCUGAAGAAUUUGCAACGACAAUAAAACAUGAUUGUGAAUCCCUCAAACCACUGCAACAACCCCUCAAACGAAAGACCACACCACCCUUUGAUGAUCUUCAAAUAGUCAACAAUCUUACUAUGAGUCACCUCCAACAAACGUGAGCUUCUUCCCAUAAUCCUUGCCAAAAGCACAAACCACAAAAUCACCACUUCAAAUUUGAACAACAAAUAUCACUUUUAAAAUCUGAAGUUGAGUAAUAAGUUAUUACCGCAACAAAAACUCUCAUCCUCAACUAUAAAAACUCUCCGCGACAAAACAAGCAAAAAAUAUGACUUUUCUCUUGGCGUCCGAGUAUCACCUCCUCCCUUUUCCAUUAUGGUGCGUUUCCUUUCCCUAUCUCGGUUUACUUUGUAUUGAUACCGUCUCCUGUAUCAAGAGAAGAAUACAUUACUAUCUAGUUAUUAGUCUUCUCCAUCACUUCUUCAUCGUCACUUCAAUCACAUCUUAACCGUCACUAAAUCGUUGAAUUUUUUUUUUUUUUUUCAAAAACCUACCCACGAUUUCACUCUCUAAUAUUGUUCUUGAAUUUAAAGUUGAAGACAUUAUUUCAAGUUUCAACCACUUCCCGUAAUUCAACCAACCCAUGUCUACAUUGUCCACGUAGAGAUUUCCAUCACCAGACUAUGUACUAUUUUAGAAUGAUAAAUUAAAUGGCAGUAUUGCUAUUUUUGUAGUGCUCAAGUGUCUUUUCUUGUUUAUGGAAUAGUCCUUACCAACAAUGAAGAUCAAAGUAACACUCAAACCGACAUUGACAGCUAUAACGAGUGCUUUUAUAAGACGCACUUCUGUUUAUAUAAAUUCCUUAAACCCAAUUAAAUUGCAUUUUUUGUGUUUUCUUCAAUUAACUUUACAUUUUUAUUUCAAAUGUUAUAUGAUAAAUGGUUUUGAUUUUUUCAAAAAGCUUUUUUUUAAACAAAACGAUAGUAUUUACACUAAGAGAAAUGAUGUGGGCUUAGUCUCACAAUGAGCAGGCAAAAUGUGGUUCAAAUUCGCCUUUAGCGAAAAUCAAACCUAAAACCUCUCGCUUACAAGUAAAUAACGUUUUUAAUCUUUCUAAAAGCACUAACAAACAAAUAUUAGUUAUUUCAAACAUGUAAUAGGGAAUUUAAGCGCCCCGAUUUGUGGCUAUUUUGCCUAGUUUUGGGGACCAGUGAAGGAGAUCCAAAUAAAUGCCCUGGUAGAAUAGCUCACCUUUCAGCCCAUCACCAACCAACUAAAAUAUGCAAACGUGUAUGUAUUAACCAAUAACCAAAGUCCACGACCAUCAUGUACGGUGCAAGCGCACCCUCUUACUUUGCUCCUCUCUCUAAUGGCGUUGUGUCACCAAUUUGUUUUCAAGUUUGUAACCAAGUGGUAUUCAAUACGUGAGGGGAACAAACGAAGACGGAUAUCCUAUUUUUCGGGAACAUAUAUCAUCGGCGACGUCUCCAAACUAAUCAUAAAUAACUGAGAGUCGUCCACCAACACGUAAACAACAAGAUCUAGAAUGCAUGAUUUACUAAAACAUAUAUAUGUAUUGUACAGUAUGAACACAUAAGCUCUAGCUUGUACACUAGAAACAAUGCGUCGAUCAAUGAGAUUGAUUGGCAUGGUUUAACCCUGCAAGAAACGUUGGCGUAAAACUUUUGAUUUUAUUUUUUAUGUUGCAGUAUUCAUUAAUCAUGCUUAUCAUUUAAAGACGUCAACAUUUAUUUAUUGAAAUAAGUCUGAUGAGAGAACGUUAUCUGUUUAAAAUUGUUGGGACUUCACAACUAAUUAUUUGAUGUGUUAUAGAUUAAUGAGAUGUAUUAGAAUUCGAAAAGCUUCGUAUUUGCACGAAAGAAUGUGAUGGGGUGGUGGGAGUUUGAUGGGGAAACAUGGGACCCUUGAUUUUUCAGGAAUUAUUUGCUGAAUUCCGAUAAGAAACGAAACCUUGUGAGCCCAGCAGAGCAGCAUUCCCAAGAAUUGGACAUGUAAGUGGUGAAAGUUCUGAAACAAAGCAUGUGAAUUGCAGUCUGGAAUCCGCUAUAAAAAUUCCUACCCCACUCUUUAAAUUGCACGAUGUUUAUAUAUAUAAUAUGUCAAUAUCUUAGGAUUUGUUUGUAAAUGUUUUUAAAAUGAUUAAAAUCGUUUUUUGUGAAAUUAUUUUUGGAUUCCAAAACCACAUGAAAUUCUUCUUACAAAAAACAUAUAAUUGGUGUUUCUUGCAGAAAGCACUUCAAAUAUUUUUUCAAGAUUCACUUAUAUUUUUACUAAAAAUUGGUUCCAAAAACACUUUUAAAGAAAUUGCUUUCAUCAUUUUAAAAACAAUUUCAAACUAACAUUUAUUUAUUUGAUAAACACAUUAUGCGCUGUCAAUUUCUGUAGGAAAUUUCAUCAAACUUGUCUUCACAAGUUUUGGUAAACACAAACUAACUAAAACUCGUGGGGAUAAGAAGUAUAGAGAUGAAAUGUAGAGAACCUGUGGGAAAGAAAUUCUAUAUGUACUAAAACCCGUGGAGAAAUCAAUGUAGCUUAGUAACAGUGCAUUUCCAGUUUUACACCCGCUUAUUUCAACUUCGCCCCGUUUGCUUCCUUCUUCUAUGCUCCUCCCCCCUCGUGUAAUAUGCCAAACCUUCAUCUUCAACUCGACCUCCCCCUUCACAAACUCCCUCCGGUCCCUUUUCUCUAUAAAUUGUAAUCACCGCCACCACCAGUUCGCUCAAACUUUGUCUAUAAAGCCUCUUUAAAUGCACAAGAAUUGAGAUUUUUGUAUCAUCAACAACAAAGACAUGAAAGUUGUCGCAAGAAAGAAGAUUACCUGACAAAGAGGAGGUUUUCUUGGAUUCUCAUCGUCUCUUGGGCCACCACUUCCACCUUCAUUUCCAGGUGCCUUUUAGGACCUGAUGUUGAACAGAAAUGAUGCCAACCGAAAGCAUUGUAACUUUCCCAUUCAACGUUGCCACGUUGAAGGCAAUAACGACGAGAAAUUUUUGAAGUCAAGCAAGAAAUCAAUGGCUUCUCCCGCAUAAAAAGCAUUUUUCUCACUCUCUUUUACAGUGGAAGAAGCUAUUGAUUUCUUUCUUGGCUUCGACAGUAUCUUCAAAAAUUUCUCCGCCGUUGUUGCCUUCAACAUGGGGACGUUGAAUGGGAAAGUUCCAUUAUCGAGGGGUGUUUUCUGUUCAAUAUUAUGGGGUCCGCAAAAAUGCACCCUGAAAAUGAAGGUGUUGGUGGUGAUCCAAGAGACGAUGGAAAUCCAAGAAACCUCCUCUUUUUUAGGUUAUCUUUUUUCUUGCUAUUAUUUUCAUGUCUUUUGCUGUUGAUCAUGCAAAAAUCUCAUUUUUCACGACUAAAGCUUGUAAGCACAAGGCCAUAUUAGAUGACUUGUAUGUCUGAGACUCUGAAUUGCCGUUACUAAACUUGUGAUUGCAAGAGAGAAAAUUGUUUAUUGGGCCGGCAAUGCCGUGGAAAAAAACAAAACUUCAUGAAAAAAUAUAUUCUCCCAUCACACUAAUUAUGUUUCUGAAAUGAAUGUGUGAAACAACUGUGAUCUUUAGUCAAUGCAAUUCUUAUCUUUUAAGUUUCAAGAAUUUCUGUAAAGCUUAGUAUUUGUGAAAAUAAUUCAAGUGUUUUUUUUUUUUGUGCAAAAAAUUAUUUUUUAUUUAAUUUUUUUUAUUUGGUUUUCACCUGAUAAAAUCGUUUGACAGCACCAGGCUACCAGCUACAUGCCAGGAGGCCCAGUUCAAAAUCUGUGGCGUGUGAGUUGUUUGAUAAAAGGUAGAGUGAAGAUAGGACAAUACUUGCGUUUCACGAAACAGUUGAUCUAAUUAUUAAAUAUAUUGUCACUUAGUACUACAGUAUAAUAGUAUUUCUCUUCACUUGUAAGUAAGAUGUAUUAGGUUUGAUUCUCACCAAAAACAAAUUUGAACCUUUGGUGAAUUUGAACUAUAUUAUUGCUAGUCUCUUGUGAAGCUAACCUCACUCUUCUCUUCCUUAAUGUAGAUAAUAUUGUUUGUUGAAAAAAAAAAAAGGCUAUUGAGCAUAUUGUAUUCACAAAUUGGGAUUUCAUGCUCAAAUAUUUGGGUACCAGUAAUAGUCCAUCUAAAUGUCCUACAGUUCGAGGGAAACUUACAUAUGUAUAUCUUUUUUAAAAAGAGACUUGCAACGAUAAUUUGUAGGAAGAAUACUUUUUAGGGAACUUUAACGAAAAGCAUCUGGUACUGUUCAUUUUAACGAAAAACCACAUUUUUACACUAAAAAGUCAAUCCUGGUACUAUUCACUUUACUCUUUAUUUUGUCCUUAUCAUUAAAACUCAAAGUUUUCAAACCCUUUUCAUUAGUUUUCCUUACUUUCUAACGAGCGUUUGGAAAUAACUUAUAUACAACAUACGUAUAUCUUUUUAGAAGAGACUUGGCCACAAAAAUAUAUGGGAUUUUAGCUAAAAUAGCCUUAUUUGCAAAACACAAUUCCAAAGAAGUCCAUUUUGCAAAAUAGAAUCUGCAAUGGGCACUAACUAUUGGUUAAUUGCAUAUCAGCCCAAAUUUAUUAUUAUGAUAUCAUCAUUAUUCUGUCACACUGUUGUCAUUAGCUCCAAUUUGUCAUAAUAUUAAAAUAAAAUUCAAAAAAUGAUCUUUAUGUGGUUAUUCUUGUUGUAGGCCUAUUUGACUUAACUGUAUUUAAUACAGAGAGGGAGAAGGGUCGGCGACAACAGAGAUAGAAGAGUGAGAUGUAAUUUUGAGGUAUGUGUUGUAUCAUCCUAUUGUGUCUUUAUUUAUAGUAGUAGGGAAGAUUAAAUCAUUACCCUAUUAGGAUUACAACUCUAAUAGGAAUUUAACCACUAAAGAGAAUAUACAAAGAUACUCCUAGAUACACUAGGAUUUACAUAAUCACAUUCCUAAUCCAAUAGAACUGCAACACUCCCCCUUGAGAGUGUAAAUACUCAAACAAAGCAUCACAUCAGAUCUUAAGCAGAUAAGGUAGAACAGUUGAUGAAGUCGUCGGCACAACGGGUGAAUGGGAGUCUCAAAUUUAAAAGAAAGUAUGCAUGGGUAGUAAAACUCAUAAACACUUUGCUCUAGUAAAACCUAAGGCAGGUGAAAACCCAUAGACUAAGGAGAAAAGUGAGAAGUAUGCAUAAUGUCUUAAAACAAACGUCAAAUAGGAUGAAAAUAGUGAACUCAACGGAGUAUGAUCAUCACAGGAUGAGUGCCUCGUUUAAACCUCUUUAGGUAGCAAAACCCCAGUGGGAAAAAUGUUCCUAAUCAUAAGAAAAAUAGUAUAUUAAGAUCAAGUGAGUAUGCUUCAAGAUACUCCUCUUGAGUUAUACAUAACUUCCAAAUAAGAGAAAGUAAUUCAACUCAGAUAAUUUACGCAUACCGAUUCCUUGGACGAGCUUCUGAAAAGUAGACUUAAACAAUGACUUGGUGAAGAGAUCGGCCAAGUUGUCUUGGGAACGGAUUUGCUUGACUUCAAUGUUUUGAUGAUAUUGUUGCUGGUGAGAAUAAAAUAACUUCGGCGUUAUGUGUUUGGUGUUGUCUCCCUUAAUGUAACCAUUCUUUAACUGCUCGAUACAUGUUGCAUUGUCUUUAAACAUCAUCGUAGGAAGGUCAAUGACAGAAGUAAGACCACUAGUGCUUCGAAAAUGUUCCAUGACUGCUUUCAACCAAAAGCACUCAAACAAUGCUUCAUGCAAGGUGAGAAUCUUAGCAUGGUUCGAAAAAGUCGCAACUACCGUUUGCUUGAUAGACCUACAAGAUAUAGCGGUGUCUCCAAUGGUAAAUACAUAACCUGUUUGAGAAUGUGCCCUAUAUGGGUCAGACAGAGAACCAACAUCUGUGUAACCAACGAGGUGAGAAUAAACUCAAGUGACAGAGGGGGGCGGUGGCUUCUCUCAAGGAUUCAUGGGUGUAGAACAAGCCCAAAUCAAUCAUACCCUUAAGGUAGCGAAACAUAUCUUUAACACCAUUCCAGUGUCUGCGUGUAGGCGUAUUGCUGUAUCUAGCCAAAAGAUUAAUGGUGAGAUAUAGGUCUAGUGCAUUGAGCCAAGUACAAUAAAGCACCAAUUGCACUUAGGUAUGGAACUUUAGGCUCCAAAAUCUCUUCUUCAUCCUCCUUUGGACUGAAGGGAUCUCAUUUAGCAUCUAGAGUCCGAACGACCAUAUGAGUACUCGAAAGCUUCGCUUUAUCCUCAUUAAAACGUCGCAACACCUUUUGGGUGUAGUUCGAUUAAUGUACUAAGAUUUCAUUCGAACAAUGCUCGAUCUCUAGGCCGUUUUCCCAAGAUCUUUCAUCUCAAAUUCCAAUUUCAAGUGAACGACGAUUUCCUCAAGCUCUGCGGGAGUUCCAAUGAAGUUCAUGUCGUCGACAUAAACUACAACGAUUGCAAAUCUAGAAUGUGACUUCUUUAUGAACACACAUGGGCAUAAUUCAUUGUUCACAUAACCCUAACUUGUCAAAUAUUCACUUAGAUAGUUAUACCAUAUCCACUUAAAUUGUUUCAAUCCGUAGAGUGAUCUCUUCAAUCUAAUCGAGAAAGUGUUCCGUGGUCUAAAACUAUUUGAACCAGUCAAUGGAAGUCCUCCUAUAACUUUUAUGUACAUUUUUGUAUCUAGAUCCCCAUAGAGAUACGCAGUUACCACGUCCAUAAGCUGCAUAUUCAGUUUUUCAAAAACUACCAAACUAAUAAGAUUGCAAAACGUUAUGAUGUCUAUUACAGGGGAAUACGUCUCCUCGCAAUCGAUCCCAGGGUGCUGAGAGAAGCCUUGCGCUACGAGGCGUGCUUUGUAUCACAUUAUUUCAUUUUUUCUCAUUACGCUUGCUCACGAAAACCUACUUGUAGCUCACGGGCUUCACAUGUGGGGGAGUAGGAGCUACAGGCCCAAACACCUUACAUUUCGCAAGCGAAUUAAGUUCGACCUGGAUUAAUUAUUUCCAGUUUGACCAAUUUGUUCUAUGUCGACAUUCAUCAACGGAACGUGGUUCAAUGUCAUCGCUAAGCAUGAUGUCGGAAGUAACGGUAUAUGCGAAUACAUCAUCGACAAUCAUCUCAUUCUGAUUCCAAACCUCAUCCAAUACUGCGUAAUGGACCGAAAUCUCAUGAUUCUUGGGAGGCCGGUAUGUUUCAUCUAAGACAUCGCCGUAAUCUAAAAUAACCACAUGCGUUGGAACAGAUGAGUAAACAAUGGUUGGAUUCAUACUAUGGUCACUAGUUUGUGCCAUUUUCCUCUUCUGAGGUUGUGAAUCAUUUGAACUAGGGGGGCCUAUCACGCUUCAGGGUAGAAAUAGGUGAUUGGUUAGCUGCCAGUGUACCGAGCCACGUGGGAGGUGCGGCCACCCCACCCUCGGGGACAGUCCGGUUCCAAGGCAGUGUUACGGUGUACGUUAAGUACGUCCAUCUUUGCAAGUGUGUUUGCAAUUGGUAUAUGUGAUCUCAUCACCUUUGCUAGAUCAGUAAAAGCAUCUGGCAUACUUUAAGUGAUGCUCUGAAGAUCUAUAAUACAUCGCACUUCAAUUUCAGACUGAGGGGUAUGGGGAUCUAAAUGAGACAUAGUGGAAGUAAUCCACGAUAAUUCGUGGCGUUCUACAUGAACGUUAAUGAUCUUAUCUCCCCCCAAUGACGGUAAGAUUGUCUCAUCAAAGUGACAAUCCGCAAAACGUGCUAUAAAGAGAUCUUGUAUCAAUGGCUCUAAGUAGCGAGUAAUUGAUGUCAAAUCAUAACCAACACAGUCUCCUAUUUUUCUCUAAGGACUCAUUUUAGUACUUAGUGGAGGCACUAUUGGCACAUAAACGGUGCGCGCAAACACACGUAAAUGCAAGAUGUCAUGCUCGUAUCCAGUAACCAACUAUAACGGUGAAUAAGGUUGGGUAGCGGUGGGCCUCAGGUGGACCAACAUAGCUGCGUGCAAUAUUGCAUAGCCCCAGCAUAUAUUAACAAAGUUUUUCGCAUAACCAAAGUCUGAGCUAUCGUUUGAAGGCACUUUAUGAAAGCUUCUGCAGGUCGUUUUGGGUGUGAACAUGGGGUACAUGAUGUUCAACUUCAUUCCCAACAGACAUGCAAUAAUCGUCAAAAGUCUGUGAUGUAAACUCUCAAACAUUAUCCAGUCGAAUCGACUGGAUCGGAUAAUCAAGGUGGUGAGCCCUAAGCUUAAUAAUUUGUGCUAAGAGUUUCGCAAAUGCAGCAUUGCGUGUGGACAAUAAGUAGACAUGUGACCAUCGCGUCCAUACAUCAACCAACACCAUGAAGUAUCUAAAUGGUUCGCAUGUUAGUUGGAUAGGUCCAUAAAUAUCCCCUUGAAUCCGCUGAAUAAACUUAGGGGGGUCGUGAAUAAUCUUUGUAAGUGAGGGUUGAAUGUUCAACUUCCCCAAGGAGCAUGCUUUGCAAAGCAGAUGGCCGGGAUAAGAUUUUAAGUAACACCCAUGUGAUACUUUGAGGAUACGACGCAUCAUAUCGCGUUCGGGGUGUCCCAUUCGACCACGCCAAAGCAGGAGAGUGUUUUGGAACUUGGCCAUAAGGGCGGCCAAGUGAUGAGUCUCAAUGGCGCAAAUGGUUGUUAUGUACAACCCACUCGGGAGACGUUCCAGCUUCUUGUGAAUACUCUUCUGGCCAUAUUUGUAAGAAGUGAUACUAAGAAAUUCGGAACCAUUCUCUUAUGUGGUUUCAACAUGAUAUUGAUUAUCUCGAAUAUCUCUAAAACUCAGCAGCGUUCUUCUGGAACGUGGAGAAUAUAGUGCCUUUUUAAUGGUUAAUUCAGUAUAAUUGGACAACAUAAUAUUGGCCUUUCUGUAUCCUUCUAUUAGGUUGGAUAGGCCUGAGAGGUGUCAUAUGUGCAUUUUUAGGUACGAAGUUAGUAAAAUAGUGUUUAUCAUGUAAUAUGGUGUGUGUGGUGGCACUAUCAGCCAAAAUUAACUUUCCCACUAGUUAUGCCUAAUCGAAUCGAUCAUAUGCAUAAUUCCAUUCAUUCAAUUAAUCAAUUUGAGAAAUAAUAUCCAUAAAGUAAUUAUCCAUAAUUCAAAACAAACCAAAACCAAACAAAUAAUUCCAAAGACUUAGAAAUUGUCCGAAAAUUAAACCAUAAACCUAAAAUUUAAGGGGGGGUUCGACCAUUCUAGUGGGUUCGGCCACUAGGGGUGUAAAACGCCCUAACAUGUCUUAGAAAAAUAAAACUUUAUUCUUUUAUGAGAGUGGAUGCCUCCUGAAAAUCUAAAAUCUUUAGAGUUGUAGUAAUAUCUUCGGCAUGUUCUAGAAGUGCAAAGUUAGACUCACGACGGGAAUGAUACUUGGCAACAGCCUCGGGGGUAGCUCGGCAUACGUGUGACCAAUAAUCCUUUGAUCCAUAGCGAUAACACAUGUCUAGUUCAGUGGAAGCUGAUUGAAUGGUAGCUUUGCCCCUUGUUCUUGAAGUUUAGGACCUUAAGGGCAAGGGGUUGGCGUUUCUGGGUUAAAUUUUCUCCCAUGGGUGGGCUUCUGUUUUGUUGACCUUGGGCCUGUGGUGGGGCUUGCCGUCCAUUUCCACGGCCAUGACCGGAUUUCCAUCGAUUGUGGUUGCUAGAAUGAGUCGCAUGCACUUCAAGUGGAUCGUUCGACCUAAUGGGUUGAGCUUGAUGAUUCUUCAUCAAAAGUUGGUUUUGCUUUUCAGCGAGAAGUAAAACAGAUAUCAAAUCCAAAAAUUUGGUGAACUUAUGUGCUCUAUAUUGUUGCUACAGGACAAUAUUGGUGGCAUUGAAGGUCGAAUAAGUCUUAUCUAGGAGAUCUUGCUUGGUUAAGUCUUCUUUAUAGAACUUAAGCAUUGAUCGGAUUCUACAAACUUCAGAGUUAUAUUCAUUCACAUACUUAAAGUCUUGAAGCGUAAAUGCUGCCAGUCAUGUCUUGCUUCAGGUAAGUAAAUGUCUUUCUAGUGGUCGAAGCGAUCGACUAAAACAAGAGGGUACGUGGAUACUCUUCUGCGAGGUACUUGGUCUACAGUGCAUCAUAGAUGUGUCUGCGGAUGAAGAUCAUAGCAAUAGCUUUCUGAGUUUCGUAGACAGGUUCAUCGUCGGUAGGUUCCUCGAUGGUAGCUCUAAGACUCUUUGCAAUAAGAUGGAGUUUCAC
rnacentral:lncRNA from 1 species